rnacentral:rRNA from 1 species
CAGCAGCCACGGUAAUACCGAGGGUGCAAGCGUUAAUCGGAAUUACUGGGCGUAAAGCGCGCGUAGGUGGUUUGUUAAGUUGAAUGUGAAAUCCCCGGGCUCAACCUGGGAACUGCAUCCAAAACUGGCAAGCUAGAGUAGGGCAGAGGGUGGUGGAAUUUCCUGUGUAGCGGUGAAAUGCGUAGAUAUAGGAAGGAACACCAGUGGCGAAGGCGACCACCUGGGCUCAUACUGACACUGAGGUGCGAAAGCGUGGGGAGCAAACAGGAUUAGAUACCCCAGUAGUCCCUGUCUCUUAUAC